rnacentral:rRNA from 1 species
GGACAAUUUACAAGGUGCUGCAUGGUUGUCGUCAGCUCGUGCCGUGAGGUGUCGGGUUAAGUCCCAUAACGAGCGCAACCCCUAUUUUUAGUUACCAGCGAGUAAUGUCGGGAACUCUAGAAAGACUGCCUGUGUAAACAGUGAGGAAGGUGGGGAUGACGUCAAAUCAUCACGGCCCUUAUGUCUUGGGCUACACACGUGCUACAAUGGUUACUACAGUGGGCUGCCAUCUGGCAACAGAGAGCAAAUCCAUAAAGGUAAUCCCAGUUCGGAUCGGAGUCUGCAACUCGACUCUGGGAAGUUGGAAUCGAUAGUAAUCGUAUAUCAGCAAUGAUACGGUGAAUACGUUCCCGGGCUUUGUACUCACCGCCAG